GAAGGUGGGGAUGACGUCAAGUCAGCAUGGCCCUUACACCCUGGGCGAGAAGCACGCUACAAUGGCCGGGACAGAGGGUUGCCAAGCGGUAACGUGGAGCUAAUCCCCCAAACCCGGUCUCAGUUCGGAUCGAGGGCUGCAACUCGCCCUCGUGAAGCUGGAGUCGCUAGUAACCGCAGGUCAGCAGUACUGCGGUGAAUAUGUUCCCGGGCCUUGUACACACCGC
rnacentral:rRNA from 14 species